GCACCCCCGGUGUGCGGCGCAACAUAGUCCCGUCCUCGAUCGCAUGCGAUGGGGCGGAGACAGAGCGUACGCGHCUGAGACCCGAAAGAUGGUGAAUCUAUUCCUGAGCAGGAUGAAGCCAGAGGAAACUACUGGUGGAAGUCCGAAGCGAUUCUGACGUGCAAAUCGAUCGUCUGACUUGGGUAUAGGGGCGAAAGACUAAUCGAACCAUCC
rnacentral:rRNA from 1 species